GGAGGUAUAGCUCAGUGGUAGAGCGCAUGCUCAGCAUUCACAAGGUCCUAGGUUCGAUCCCCAGCACCUCCA
rnacentral:tRNA from 1 species